rnacentral:rRNA from 1 species
GACGAACGCUGGCGGCGUGCUUAACACAUGCAAGUCGAACGGUGAAGCGCCUUCCUUUUUGGUGGGUGUGGAUGAGUGGCGAACGGGUGAGUAACACGUGGGUAACCUGCCCCCUUCUUCUGGUUAACCGCAUGAAAGUGUGGCUAAUACGGGAUAUUCUGGGUCUGUCGCAUGAUGGGUCUGGGAAAGAUAUUGUUUCGGUGGGGGAUGGGCUCGCGGCGUAUCAGCUUGUUGGUGGGGUGAUGGCCUACCAAGGCGGUGACGGGUAGACGGCCUGAGAGGGUGGACGGUCACACUGGGAAUGAGCCACGGCCCAGACUCCUACGGGAGGCAGCAGUGGGGAAUAUUGAACAAUGGGCGCAAGCCUGAUGCAGCGACGCCGCGUGCGGGAUGGAGGCCUUCGGGUUGUGAACCUCUUUCGCCAGUGAAGCAGGCCUGCCUCGUUUGUGGGUGGGUUGACGGUAGCUGGAUAAGAAGCGCCGGCUAACUACGUG